AGUGGAUGGGGAGCAACCUAGUUGUGCGUGUGUAAAGGUAGUGCCAAGAAAAGCGAUGAUCAUGUUGAAAAUCAAUUCCCGGUACCCGAGACCGACACAGGUGGGCAAGUAGAGAAUACUAAGGGGCGCGAGGUAACUCUCUCCAAGGAACUCGGCAAAAUGACCCCGUAACUUAGGGAGAAGGGGUGCCACCGAGAGGUGGUCGCAGUGAAGAGGCCCAGGCGACUGUUUAGCAAAAACAUAGGUCUCUGCAAACUCGAAAGAGGAGGUAUAGGGGCUGACGCCUGCCCAGUGCCGGAAGGUUAAAGAAGUUGGUCAGUUUUAGGAUGAAGCUAGCGACUGAAGCCCCGGUGAACGGCGGCCGUAUCUAUAACGGUCCUAAGGUAGCGAAAUUCCUUGUCGGGUAAGUUCCGACCCGCACGAAAGGCGUAACGAUCUGGGCGCUGUCUCGGAGAGAGGCUCGGCGAAAUAGGAUUGUCUGUGAAGAUACGGACUACCUGCAUUUGGACAGAAAGACCCUAUGAAGCUUUACUAUAGCUUGGAAUUGUGUUCGGGCUUCCUGUGCGCAGGAUAGGUGGGAGGCGUAGAAGGUAUUCUUGGGGAUACUGGAGCCAACGGUGAGAUACCACUCUCAGGAGGCUAGAAUUCUAACUUAAUUAAGGACAGUUUCAGGUGGGUAGUUUGACUGGGGCGGUCGCCUCCAAAAAGGUAACGGAGGCGUACAAAGGUUCCCUCAGACUGGUUGGAAAUCAGUCGAAGAGUGCAAAGGCAGAAGGGAGCUUGACUGCGAGAAGUACAGUUCGAGCAGGGUGGAAACACGGUCUUAGUGAUCCGACGGUGCUGUGUGGAAGGGCCGUCGCUCAACGGAUAAAAGUUACUCUAAGGAUAACAGGCUGAUCUCCCCCAAGAGUUCACAUCGACGGGGAGGUUUGGCACCUCGAUGUCGGCUCAUCGCAACCUGGGGCGGAAGUACGUCCCAAGGGUUGGGCUGUUCGCCCAUUAAAGCGGUACGUGAGCUGGGUUCAGAACGUCGUGAGACAGCUCGGUCCAUAUCCGAUGUAGGCGUGAGAAUAUUGAGAGGAGCCUUCCUUAGUACGAGAGGACCGGGAAGGACGCACCGCUGGUGUACCUGUUAUGAUGCCAAUUGUAAACGCAGGGUAGCCAAGUGCGGAGAGGAUAACCGCUGAAAGCAUCUAAGUGGGAAGCCCACCUCAAGAUGAGUAUUCUGGUGUAAGGUCACGGGAAGACGACCCGUAAAUAGGCACGAGGUGGAAGUGCAGAGAUGUAUGAAGCCGAAGUGUACAAAUAGACCGUCGGCUUGAUC
rnacentral:rRNA from 1 species